UCUGCCUGCUUAGCUGCAAAUUUCAGUUAUCAUGAUUGGAGCCUUUCCGCACUGGGUUUCUUCCAGCAGUGUCAGACUUUUCUUCCUCACUCUUCAGAGGCAUCAAGUGAGAUCCACUCUGCUGUAUCCCAGAAGAUGGUGAAGGCACUGCCACCCUGAGCAGUUAGACCCCAGCACUGGGUGGGGAAGGUUGCAAGCCAUUUAAGGCCAUUUAAGACACAGAUUGUUUGAUUUAGACACUUCUCCAUCUCCCCUUGGCUUCUAUAGGCAACUCCAGAGGGAGAUGCAGGACACCUAACACUACCCCUUCUACCAAGGAUGUAGGGAACCAAUGUGAGAUCUGACUUCCACCUAACCCCUCCAGUCCUCUUCUCAGCAGGACACAAAGCACAGUUCUCUCCCCCAUCCCACCACAGGGAGAAGUGAGUGAGCAGCUGCGUGGUGCUUAGUUGCUGGAUGGGGUUAAACCACGACAGACACAUUAAAAACUCUUAAAUAUAUCAGCCAGGAAUGUCUCAGGUGGAGCUGAUUCUGCCUUGGCAAGGAAGAAGGACUGGGUAAUGCCUCAGAUGUCAGCCUGGCCUCUGCCUCUAUUUCUGAGUGUGGGAUUCAGCUCACAGAUCAUGUCAGGUGAGUAACUGAGUCCCGAUUCCACGCCCUGGACAUCAGUGGAGCUGUCUAACCCUGUAUUUCACUUUCCUAACUCCCCUUGGUUGCC